GAAAUGCGAUAAGUAAUGUGAAUUGCAGAAUUCAGUGAAUCAUCGAAUCUUUGAACGCACCUUGCGCUCCUUGGUAUUCCGAGGAGCAUGCCUGUUUGAGUGUCAUUAAAUUCUCAAAAAAGCCUUUGGUAGUAAUAUCAAUGGCUUUCUUUGGAUGUGAGGGUUUGUUGGCGAAAGUCGACUCCCUUGAAAUGCAUUAGCUUGGUUGACUGGACUUUUGUCUAUUGGUGUGAUAAUUAUCUACGCCAUUGGAUUGUCUGCUUGUCAAACUGCUUCUAAUUGUCCCUUUCGGGACUAUAUAUUUAAAUGACCAUUUGACCUCAAAUCAGGUAGGACUACCCGCUGAAUUUAA
rnacentral:misc_RNA from 1 species